ACGAAGAAUACACAACUAUGUACCGGGGGGCUUUGGGGAGAAAAAGGAAAAAAUAAAAUCUUUAAAAAAAAAAAGUCCUAUCAAGAAUUCUUGCCCACCAACGCUGGUGAUAGGUUAUACUAUAUUUUUAUAUAAUAAAACAGGGUCCAUGGCUAGUAUAGUGAAUAGUCUCUAGAGAUGAAAUAAGGACUUAGAGAGAAAUAUUUAGGAACUUUUGAAAGCAAACACUCUUCAUUAAUGUUAUUGUCUCCCUGGGUCUCCAAAACAUUUUGUUUUUCCUUUUUUACAAAACUUGAUUCUAUUUCACUGUUAGAUACUUGCUGCUACAGGAAUCUGAGAAGACAAAUGGGGAGAAUGUUUUCAUCUCGUAAGGUCAGGUAAUUCUCUCUCCAACGUCUUUUCAUUCUUAGAAAUCAAUCCUGACUGUUUUAUACUUUUAUUUGUUAAAAAUAAAUUUUUAAGAGACUAUGAAUCCCAGAUGAGUUUCACGCCAUCAUCACCUUGUGUACUGGGCGUGAAAAAGUGCAGACGUGAAAUACACUUAAGUCUCUUGUAACAGUUUUGACUAUGCUGGGAGGGAGAUUUUUCUCCAAUUGUGAACUCAAAUGUACCAACCCUAUUUAUUCAUCAGAUACCCACCAAAUCAAAUGCCACUUUUUAAACUGCAAGAUGAUAACUAAAACAUCAUGAGGUGUGUACAGAAAUUCUCUGUACUACCUUUACAACUCUUUUGUAAAUUGGGUGGAGAGGUGACUAUUUGCCCUAUGGUAUCCCUGGAGUGGGGCAGUCCCAUAUACACAUGAAUUUAGUUCUUACGCUCUCUGGUCUUUUCAUUUCACAUAUUUGCCUAUUUUCAUAUCAGGAACAAAUUAUUUAAUGAAUGCAGCUUUACAUGUUUUAAUAAUUCAUAGGGAAAGUACUUUAUCAUUAGUCAUCUCUUUAAAAAUUUGUUAUAUUCUGAUUUUCUUUUUGUGUACAGAAAUUUCCUCUUCUGAAUUUCAGUUGAGCAUGCCUUUCAUUAAAACUAAAUACAUUGAAUGCCACAAAAUAUCACUCAAGUGUUCAAUUCAGAUAUUAAAUCUCUUACCACUCAGAUUGUUUUCCAUAUAGUCUUUUCCUGAGAAGAAUUAUUGGAAAACUGUAUUAACCAUCUAUAAAUGCAUAAUUAGCCCUAAGUUAAUGUCAUGGUCACAUGAACUAUCAGCCACUCAAGGUCUUAUAAGUCCAAGUUAAAUAGACAUAUUUCUAUGAAGCCCAGAUCUCUGUGGUAUAAAGAAAAUGAUCAAAUCACCUCUGCUGUGCUUUUUCCUAGCUGAAUUCCACACGUUAGCAGAGUAACAGCGGACACAUCUGCUCUGCCUUGGCGAGGCUGUCACAUGGGUGUGGAGAGGGAAAUGCUACACUCUCUUUAAAUAUCUGAACUGCUUUCUUGUGUUUUGACACCUUUUCAUGCUUCGUGAUUCUCAAACGUGGCUAUACAUUAGAAUGGUUUGGAGGGCUUUAAAAAAUGUACUGAUACCUGGGUCUCAGUUGAAUCAGAAUCUCUGAGGAUAGAGCCCUAUUGUCUAUAUUUUUUUAACUUAUCAAAAGGUUCUGACGCACAAGGGUGUUUGAGAACCAUUAUGAAUGGCUCCCCAGGUCUCCUCUCAAUCAUCUGGAUAGCGGGCCAGUCUGCUGGAAUUCACUGUGAGUGGAGAGAGCUGGCAUUUAGCUGGAUGAUAUAGCUAUCAACUGGACAGAUUUUCUGUUAGUUCCUACAAAUGGAAGGUACAUCAAUGUAUGGACAAGCUGACAAAAUAUUCUCUAGGUACGUGAGUAAGGAGUGCAAAAGCCGUCUCAUAAACCGUUUUGGAAAGACUUAGCUGAAUCCCAAACGUGAUCUUGUUUUCACCUGAGGCUGGAAGCCAAUUCAUUCCCCUCUAGCCCUGCCUCCUCAUGCCUGGAAUAGUUUAAAUAGCACCUGACUUGCCAGUUCCUCAGACAUUUUGGAGGAUUUCUUUCUGACAACAUGUUCACCUGAGGUAUUUCAAGGGAAUUUCACUAUUAUUUUCCAUUCUAAUUAGUCAGCUCCUCUGAAGCCAGUUGUAUUAAAUUAUAUUUUCCGUGAAAAAAUAAACACUUCAUCCAGAUUUUCUAGUUUAUGUUCAUGGACUUCAGCAAAUUGUUUCAAUAAGUUUUCUUCUUUGCAGUUAAUUCCAUUUCCACACCAAGUCUGCUAUAUUCUGAUUUUCUUUUUGUGUACAAAAAUUUCCCUUUUUUCUGCAUUUCAAUUAAGCAUGCCUUUCAUUAAUACUAAACACAUCGAAUGCCACGAAAUAUCACUCAAGUGUUCAAUUCAGAUAUUAAAUCUCUUACCACUCAGAUUUUUUUCCAUAUAGACUUGUCCUGAGAAGAAUUACUGGAAAACUGUAUUAACUGUCCAUAAAUGCAUAAUUAACCCUAAGUCAAUGUCAUGGUCACAUGAACUAUCAGCGACUCAAGGUCUUAUACGUACGAGAUAAAUAGCUCUUUAGAGCUCUCGUCUCCUUAGUUUCAUGCAUUUGAACUGUCAUAAACUAGGAGAGGUGAAUUUACUUUUUUUUUUAACUUUUAAGAUUUGCUUUAUACCUUUUUAAUCUUUUCUUUAUGAAGGGAAUAUUUCUAUUUGCUGUUGGGGUAUAACACUUGAAGUCAGCUUUAAAGUCAACUUGUUUUAUUAUCUUUUUCUCUAAUUAAACCUGUCAGAUGUUCAGUUUAUGACCCUGCACAUAAUGGGUAAAAAAACCUGAAGAGAUUAUAAACUUCAACAAAGUUAGGUUUGUAACAUAAUUUUCCAGACCUCACACAAAGCCUGGAUGUGGAUUGCUUUACAAGUGGUCUUUAAUGAACUUCAGGGCACAUAGAGUACGAGUUACCCAAUUUGGGCCAGGAACAGAAUGGAGGACUCACCAACCAAUUCUCUUGAGGCUAGAAUAACCAUGACACAAAUUUGGGUAGUGAAAAAGUGAUUUUUGUCCCAUUCCACCGACAAAUAUAGAUGUCAUCCUUCUAAAAAAUGUGUUAGCUAAUAAAAUCCAAUAAGGUAUCAAAAAAGAAAAAAAAUUUAUGAUAGGUAUUCUCUUGGCUACCUGUAUGCAGUAGCAUAGAGAGUGAAUGGCCCUCCACUUUGACAAACUAGAGUGAGGGACCCACAGAGUCAUGAGCAAUGAUCCCUGAGACUCUGCCCAACUCUAAAGGGCUCCAACGGAUUCUCCUGUCCCCUUCAAGUGAGGAAGUAGAGACUUUCAAAAUUACAAAAAAAAAAAAAAAAAAAAAAAUCUCCUUAGCCAUCUAAAAUUAGGCAAGUCUACCACCUAGUGACCAACUGUGAGCAUUUCUCAGUCAUUUGGUCUGACUUAAUUAGAAUCAUUAAUUAUUCAUAAGUUUAUAUUCAACAAACAUGCAAUGUUCACAUACCAGACACAAUGCUAGGCAUCGGAGAUACUAAAACCAGAGAGGCAGAGUUAUUGCCCUACAGGUAUGCACAGAGCACUAGAAGGGAAGAGACAACUAAGUGAACGAAUAAGUAAAUCACAGGGCAGUAGUUGCUAUAAGUAACCUACACCCAACGCUCUGGUUCACCCUUAAUUUUAAACAAAUCAGAACCUGAGUCUGGGCAUAGCAAACCCAAGUUCUUCAUUGGUUACAGCCGGUGACCAAAAAGAAAAAACGAAGAAAAAGGAAAACCAAAUCAAAAGUAGCAACAGUGGCUUUUACAAUGAUUUUCACUUAACUCUCUCAGAAACACUACACAGUUGUUUAGAUGUUCACUUUCCCAAGUUUCCAAAACUGACUUUUAUAGUACCUCCUGGCAUCUUAAGGAUACAGAGUAGAUAAACUCUUACUUUCUUUUUUGCUGAGGAAGAUUGGCCCUGAGCUAACAUCUGUGCCCAUCUUCCUCUACUUUAUAUGUGGGAUGCGUGCCACAGCAUGGCUUGUCAAGCGGUGCGUAGGUCCACACCUGGAUCUGAACUGGCGAACCCUGAGCCGCCGAAGCGGAGUGCAUAAGCCACCCGGCAGGCCCCAAUAAACUCUUACGUUUUUAGACGAUAAUUUAUACAUACAUAUUUGAAAGUCAGCUGCAAACUAUUUAAGAAAGAGAAGCCUCAGAACAUGUGCAUUCACAAGCUAGGGUGAAAUGUGGUAGCAAAGUGGUUUAAAGCAAGCGUUUUGAAUGAGAUGGUCCUGGUGUGUGUCCCAAGUUGGCUGCUUACCCAGGAGGACUAUUAAAACUCUAUGCCCCAGCAGCUUCCCCUGCAAAAUGGCAAGAGCAGUGGUGCCCUCUUCAGACGACUGUGGUGCUGAGCGUGAGACAGGAGGUACACAAACCACCUAGCAAGUGCCGGGCAGAGCGAAGGUGCAAUAAGCACGGACAUCCUUACUCUUGUGAAGAAGUUACGUGGAUUGCUUCGGGGAAGACAGUCCCCAACGCCACAGACUCCUUUCCUUACGCAGCAGAAUCUCAGAGUAAACACUGCUUGAGCUGGGUCCCUCUGCAACUGUUAGGGCCAGAAGUGAGUCAUUUUGUAUCCACCUGCUUUUAGUUCUCUCAGCUGGAAAAUUCAUCUCCCAAGGCCAAUAGGCUGGGCCCUGCUAUAAUGUAGCCAAGUCAGCUGCCAGGGAGACAAAAGAGAACAUGCAGACGUUUGCUCUUAGAACCAUUUUAACAGUAAGGCAGCGGGGAAAGGAGUAAGCGGGUGUAUUCUCAGAUGUUGUAGUUACAAAAGUAAGGGUUGAGCAUGAAAGGAAAUUCAUUUGGGGGAUUAGUUUUUCUGCAAUUAGCAAUUCAACAUCACCAAUUCAUUUCAACUAAUAUAUUGCCCCUUGUAAAAAAAAAUGGAAAAAGUGAGUUUAACUUAUGAAUUUUUGAAUGUCUAAAACGAUAUUUAUAUAUAAUUACAACUUUCUAAUUCUAUUUAGACAAGUAGACUUAUGGUCAAACUCUUCAAAAUUCCAUGAACCAGAAACACUAGCAUCACUUGGAGCUUGCUAGCAAAGCAGAAUCUCAGUCCUCAUCCCUCACCUUCUGAAUAUGAAUCUGUAUUGUAAUAAGAUCUCCAGAUAAUUUGCAUACACAUUAAAGCUGGAGAAACGCUGAUACAAGUUAUGGCGCUUGCAUAUUGCAGUACCAGGUUCAGAACACUAGGAAGAGCCAUUUCAUCAAAUUUCCUAUACUUUUUAAUGGUGACUUUAGAAAUAUCGCUAUAAGCCGUUUUUGCAAUUAAAUUUUCCCCCAUUAGAAUAACAUUUUUCUCUUUAAAAGAAAACAAAGAUAAUACAAAAAUCUUAUGUAUAAUACACAAGUUGUAUUUGAUGAAUGAUUGUGGAGAAGAAAUGUUUUAAAAUUUCUCUAUUAGUGUCUAAAAUAUUUUAGAAAGACUAAAACAAUUAUUGUCCUAAAAGUCCAGGUAAAAUUUGAAAAUGAUAUGACAUUAUUUGUAUUAUAGGUGGAGAUGGAGCUACAAUAAAAAUAAGUAAAUUAAGUUGAAAAACUUUUGCUUUAAACUAUGGAUGUGUGUACGUGUGUGUAUAAUUUAUUUCAAGAAGCACACUCAUUAAAGAAAUGUGAAAAGAUCUAAAAACAAGGAUGGCGUCAUUUUAUAAUGAUAUAAAUAAACUAUGAUGAACCUUUAACCCAUUAAACUUCAUCAUCAAAAACAUCUAGUCAAGGUCACCGGUAAAAAUGAACUUCCUGCUUCUUUCCUUUAGAAUAAACAAAGAAAUGUAUAAAUUGAGACUUCAGGCUUACGAGCUACAGGGAACUCUUAGGCCAGGCUAAGUGGCAAAAGAGAGCACUUCCAACAGUUCCUUGCCCCGUGCUCCUGGGCCACACAGCACGCUGCCACGGGCCACGAUCCCCUGGUUCCAGUCUCCACACAGCAAGGACUGCUGAACGCUUCCAGGAGGGUGAAACACUAGCAGCUCCUUGAAGCACUUUUGUCUUCUCCCCCUCCAGGUCUUCGGAGCAGGCUUCUGGCAGACAGGCGCCCAGCUUGUGUUGGGCCUAAAUACACUGGGGGAAUUACGGGAAUCUUUUCUUUCGCACCAGUCGAUCGGCUCAUGGUCCUCCUUCAGUUAGCAUGAAUAUUCAUCUCUUAUGUUACUGCUGUAAGAUGCAAAUGACUGCGGAUGGAUGAAGAAACCUGACAGAGAAAGGAGAAAUUCAGAGAAGUAGUUCAUAAGCAUAUGAAAUCUGCACAACCUUACUAAUGAUGAAAUAAUCAUCAAAGAAUCCAGUGUUGCGAGAAUGUGUGGAGCGGGGUUCUCUGUAGCAUCAUCGGUAGGACUGCAUUUUGGCCCAGGCUCUUAGAGCGCAGCUUGACAGUAUUUGCCAAAUAAAAAAUACUCAUACUUCGUGGCUCAAAGCCAUAUUCUAAGCUAUAAAUGGUAUUCUGACACCCGAAGCCUGACAAACUUGCCUGCAAGUUCCCCAAAUUACUUUCAUUUUCCUGAGUGCCUGCCACCUAGGUUGACGCUAUUUAUUCUCAUCUUACAGAAAAAAACAAAGCGAACAGAACUUUGGUCCUUGUAGCCAAUGAAUCUUCAAAUCAAGAUUUCAAAAUAUUGUUCGAAUAUUUCCCUUAGAAAUACCAAAUAGCAUCAAAAGCAAAUGCAAGGGAAAGGGGCUGAUGGUGUUCGACGGUUAAAGUGUCUUACAUUUUUUGGAAAAGGAUUGUGAAAUAAAGGCUUUUCUGGAGGGCACAGUGACCCCAUGGGCCAGCUGAGCCACGCUGCCUCCUGCCUGCCCUGUAAUUACUCAGGCCAUCAGAAGUGGAGAGGGUGUCCUGGUCCUGGCUCCACUCCCUAUUCCAACAGCUCCUCCACAGCGAGAACCUUUUGCAUCUCCCAGCAAGCUCUCAGGGUGCGGGGGGUGUGUUAGGUGUCACCGUCAGAAAGAGAAGUAGUGUUGCAAGUCUAUCACAAUACAAAAAACAACCAAUGAGGCUGUUUGGGCUUUCCAAGCACACUACAUAAUAACCGGCCUAGUUAAAUAAUGAGACACGGAAAAAAUAAGAAAACAAAAGUUACUUAGACACCUGCACUGAACCAUAAGGAAUGUCCCUCACUUGCUGCGACUCUGACCUGGUCUGAACCCUAGCUCCGUGGUUAGUGUAUUCACUGUCACUGGGAGCAGAGCAGGUCUCAGGGGAAACUAAAGAAAAACCACUUCACUGAUUCAUCCCUCUCCUGAUAGACAACUUCCCCCAUCACAAAUUUCUUGUGAAAGCAUGCAAAUGGUAAAGUGCAUUCGCUCAUUUUACCUUGUCUUCCAGGCGCCCUGCUCGAUCUCCAAAACUGAGAUUAAAAGGCGCAUUUUUAUAAAACACUCAUAAUUUGCUACAAGUAUAUCUUAAAAGCAAGAAAUAACUGACAUUUAUUGAGUGCUGACGCUGUAGAGGCCUAGGUCUAAGCUCUUCUGUAAAGGAACUCAGCCUCACAGCGAGCCUUGGCUCAUGGGAAGGGAUGCCUCGGCGGUUCUGAGACGCCGUGCUCAGCCUGCGCCUGCGCGGCGUGAGUGAGCCUUCCGCCCGCGCCUGCGCGGGGCGCUCAUCGUCCCACCUGCGCAAACAGUUGUUUUCCUGGUGGCAUAAGGGGAUGCCCACCGGCUGGCAGAAAAAAAAAAAAAAACCCUCGAGGAAUAUUUGGAAGGGCUGUGGCUGUGCUCUGAAAGCUUCGUGACACCUCUGGUAAUGACUGGAACUGUGGCCCUCUUGUGUCUGUGAGGGGACAAGCUUGAGGACCAAGGCCAACGUACCUAGAUAGCAGAGGGGAAAGAUGGACAGAACCUGCAUCCAUGAGGACAUUCUGAGGCUGUUAUAUUAACCAAUCGCAGAAUCACCGUAUUUCUAGGUUUCUUGAGGAUUGUGCCCUGGAGCAGUCAGCUUCCUCAGCUUGUUUCGUCUUGUUCAGAACACGGGGCUGUGUUUGCUCUUCACCUUUGCCAGGUUAGCCCACCAUUACCACAGAAGUAAUGAUAGCCCGCAUCCUUGACUCAUUCCAAUCCCAGAAGGAUUUACAGUACUUUGUUGAAUAGAAGUGUUGACAGUGGGCAUUCCUGCUUUGUACCAGAUCUUAGAGGAAAAAUUACCCCAUUGAUUAUGAUAUUAGCUGUGGAUUUUUCAUAUAUGGCCUUUAUUGUGUUGAGCACCUCAUCCUGAGUGUCCUCUACAAGUGGUACAACCACCCAGACAUCAUAACCUAUUUGACUACAAAAAAGGUAAACUUGCCAGGUUCUAAGGUGAAGUUCUUAAUCCUAAGUACUGAUGAUGUGUAGCUUACUAGGUGGUAGCAAUUUUAAGAAGAAGCACCUUCCGGGGUGAUUCAUAAAAAGUCAGAAUAACCCCAGGAUAAGACACUAGAGAUGGAGAGGAGCAUACAUUUGAGACUUGAGAGGGAUCCUGAGGUUAAGAAGCUUGGAAACUUUUUGAGAACUAAAAGAAGAUAGAUAAGCACCAGAAGAAGCUACCCCGCAAAUUUAGUGGGAUAUGUCUCGGUGGCAUUCCAUCAGCAUCACAUAUGGAAACUGCAGUCCCUGCCUCUGCGUUUAUUCACGUGCUGGGUCAGUCAAGCUGCUAAAAUGAAAGCAAAUAAGAAAAAUAGGAAAUAACAUGAAUCAGGAAACAAAGAAAAGUAGGUAACAUUUUUCAAGUGCCUGUAUGUGCCAGGCUUUUUCAUGUACCCCAGUGUAGGCUCUGGAGUCACCAGGUUGAAAGGGAGUCUUUGCCCUUUAGUUUUUUUUGUGGGAACAAAAAACCUUAAAAGGCCUAUAAUUGAGAACUUAAUAUAGUCAAUGUCCUAGGCCAGGAGUUUUCUAUGAAGAGUAAUAUUAAUAUAGUAGAUAGCAACUGUCUUCAAGGAAAACAAAUCUGUAAUUUGCGCUUACUAUGGCCAUAUACUUUGUUAGGAGCUUGCUGCAAAGAAAUACACAUAGACAGUCGAUCCUCAUUAUUCACAGAUUCACUAUUGUGAAUUUGCAUACUUUCUAGAAUUUAUUUGUGACUUCAAGAUCAAUACUUGCUGCACUUGCCCAGUCGUUCGCAGACAUGCACAGAGCAGGGAAAAAUCUGAGUUGCCCGACUGGCGUGUUUCCAGCUGAGGUGGAACAAGACAAUGCUCUGCCUUCUUGUUUAAGCUCUCACACUGUAAGCAAGUGUCCUUUUCUCUGUCUGUUUAGUGACACAUCUUUUGCAUUUUUGUUAGUGAUUCCACUGUUUAAAAUGGCCCCCAGUGUAGGGCUGCAGUGCUGUCUAGCAGAAGUUCUUGAGUGCAAGAAGGCUGUGAUGAUGUGCCUUAAGGAGAAAAUGUGUGUAUUAGAGAAGCUUUGUCCAGGCAUGUGUUAUUGUGCUGUUGUCUGUGAGUUCAAGUUAGUGAAUAAACAAUAUGUAUUGAAUAAGGGAUCUUUAAACUGAAGCACACAUAAAACAAGUUCCGUGUUGAUCAGUUGGUAAAAAUGUUGUGACCAGAAACUCACAAGAUCCUAAUCUUGUAAAUACCCCAGGAGCAGUUACGGUGUUCAUUAAUUCAGUGUUCACUGUGACUUCAUGGAACACAACUACUUCAAAUAAUGAGAAUUGACUCGUGUGUAUGUGUGUGUACACACACAUGUAUACAUAAUACACAAAUGAAACUAUCUGCAAGGAAAACAAAUCUAAUUGGGAAGGUAAAAUAUAAGAAUAAAUCAAGGCAACACAAAGGGAAGCAUUUGAGUGCCAACUUAGAGAGACUAGCUAAAACAAAUUGACAGCUGAAUGGAGAAUGAGUUAAUCUAGUGGACUAAUUCUUGGUAGCCAAGUAGAAUGCUUUCCUGCCAACAACAUGGGGCAAUGACACCCACUGCUUGGCUGCUUUCUCCUUAUUUUUCAGUACAAAGCUGUAUUCAAAAUAAGGAUAAACAUGUUCAUGCUAAUUUUAUAUGACUCUUCCUGGUAGAAUAACUGCUCUCAUUUGUGGCACGUAGCAGAGCGUGUUGCUUUGAUCUUUUUCUGCCAUCUAGGCAGCACAACUAGAACUGCUACUUAAUGUCUUUUGCGCUGGUUUAUGUUCCCUGAAAGUGACGGAUCGUUCUGUUUGUAAUCUACAUCUAAUCUGUAUUUCUGCCAAGUUGCAAUUCUUGUUUUUCCUAUUUAGCAGUGGACCAAAGCAUUCGAGUGAAGAGUUUCAAAUCGAAGUUUGUAAUUAUCAGAUGAAAAGGUUAACUUAAAAUGGCUGCUCAGAGGAGAGAGAUUUGGAUCAGUUUGACUUUUUCGAUCAUUUAACACGAUCUCAAAUGCUUGAAGCAACUUCAGAAACUCUGGCUGAAUUUCAGCCAAGGGCUGGUUUCCCCCACCUCCUUCUUCACUUCUCAUGCCUGAGACCCAGAGAAGAGAAAGUCCGUAGCCUAGAUAUAAUGACUCACUGAGUCCAUUAAUUCACGGUUUCUAGGACUUGAUCAGUGACCACAGGCUUUGGUCAUGGAAGAAACUCCAAAUUGCUUAUUCUGUUUCCUUUCUUCUUCCUCUUCCACAUCUGGUGCUCCUAGGUCAUUUCUCCAGAAGCACAUCUUAGCUGCCUUUGGUUGGCUCUCUCUCCUCCUUUUUACUCUCUCCCCUGUCUCUCCCCUCAGUAGCUUACUUAAUCCAGCAUCUUUAUAUUGGAACAAUUAGUUCCAAGUUUCCUUCAGGUUUUCUCUAUGCCCCCAGUUUCUCUACUCAGACUCCUCAGCUCUUUCCAAUCAGUUUCCAAAGUCAUUUUUCUAGGUGAUAAUCCAUCUCUCAUCUAGGAUCACCUGGUCUUAGUUUUAUCCGAGCUUUUAUCCUGCCAGCCCCACAGGUAGUACAGGAGAAUUUAGAAUAGCUUAUCUAAGUUUGGUUAUUGUUAAAUGCCCUUGGCCUCAGUAGGCACAACUGAGAAGAGGAAGUCCAUCAACCAUGGGAAAAUGAGCAGGUGGCCUUGACAAGAGCAACCUACACAGUUAUACAUUUUCUUGGUGGUCGGCUGCCAUUAUGUGAGUUCGGUGUUAUAACAGUAGAUGGAUUCAGUUACACUAGAAAGCACUGAAAUCUAUAAAAAUAGUCUAAAGGAGAAAAAAAGAGGGAUCCUUAAAAGUAUAGGAUUGAAAGCACUAAUUCCAACUAUCACAUCUUACAAAUGAAUUAAGUCAUUUACAACUAUCACACUGGAACUAGGACCGUAAGUCGAGUCCACAGACUUCUAGUUUCCAACUAAUUAGUCAACUAUUGGCAAAUGUUUAUUUAGGUUUCAUUAUUAAAUUUCAUCCUCUUCUUUAAUUAAUCAGUAUAGUGAAUUAGUUUAAUUACCUUUUUGUAAUUAUUUUCAGUGUUCUUGCAAAUAGAUGUUUUUAACAGCUUUGUUGAGGUAUAAUUAACUCACAAUAAAUUGUACAGAUUUAAAGUGUACAAUUAGAUAAAUUUUGACAUAAGUGUACAUUCACGAAACCAUCACGACAAAGCAAGAAAAUGAACAUAUCCAUGACCAUCAUGUGCUUCCUGGAGCCGUUUUAUAAUCCCUCUCUCCCAUCCCUUUUUGAUCUUUCCCUGUUCUCUAUAUUUGGCAACCACUGAUUUGUUUUUGUCACCGUAGAUUAGUUUGCAUUUCCUAGAAUUUUAUCUAAUGUACAGUAGGUACUUGUUUCUGUGUCUUUUUCUUCACACAGCAUAAUGUUUUUGAGAUUCAUUCAUGCUGUUGCCUGAACCAGUAGUUUGUUCCCCUUCAUUGCUGAGUAGUAUUCCACGGUCUGGGUAUACCACAGUUUGUCUCUUCACCUAUUAAUGGACAUUUGGGUUGCUCCCUUUUGGGGCCAUAGACACAGUUUCUAAACUUUGGCACUACUGACAUUUUGAGCUGGAUAAUUCUUUGUGUGGAGGACUGUCGGUCGUGUGCAUCGCAAGAUGUGUAGCAGAAUUUCUGGUCUCUACCCACUAGAUGCCAAUAGCACCAGUCCCCCUCGGUUGUGACAACCAAAAUAUCUCAAGACAUCGCCAAAUACCCAGUAGGAAGCAAAAUCACCUCGAGCUGAGAACCACUAGGCAGCAAAUGAUGUUGUUAUGAACAUUCAAGUACAAGACUUUGUAUUGAACACAUGCUUUCCUUUCUCUUGGAGCAAAAUGGCUAGGUCAUUUAGGUAUAUGUUCACCUUUAAAAAAAACCUGCCAAAUGUUUUUCCAAAGUGGUUGGAUGUUCCCACCAGCAGUGUAUGAGAGUUUGAGCUCCUCAACAUCCUUGUCACCACCUGGUAUGAUCAGUCUUUUAAAUUUUACACAUUAUAAUAGGAGUGAAGUGGCAUCUUGUUGUGGUUUUCAUUAGCGUUUCCCCAAUGACUGACAACAUUGAACACUUUCAUGUGCUUGUCUUCUUUGGUGGAGUCUCUCGGGGAUCAUUGUCCUUCAUUGCCUAGUGGCCAAUGUCUUGAAAACCAUUGUUUCAUAUAUUUUGUCCAGUUUUUUAGUUGUUUCUUGUUGGGGGGUAGAUUUGGUCCCUGUUACUUCAUCUUGGCUAGAAGCAGGAUCUCAACAUCCGGCCAUACAUGCUUUUCUAGCACUUUCUCACAAUCACAUAACCCCUGCUGUCGUCAUCCUCUCUUUUUCUUCAAUUUCAAAUCCUUAGACCUUUGAUUCUCUUGCUUUUGGCUUUGAAAGUUAGUGUCCUUAAUGAGGAGUUUAUAGCAUGUGUUUUCUUUUCUUAUCUUUCUGCUUAUGCCUUUGCUACUGCAUCUUUAAAAAUUACCAAAAAAAAAAAAAAAGAAUAAAAGUUAAGAAAAUGGUAAGGCAAGCCACGGAUUGGGAGAAAAUAUUUGCAACACAUACAACUUUUUACAACUUAUGCAAUUUAAUAAUGAUCAAAAUAUUUGAAAAACACUUCACUAAAGGAGAUAUACAAAUUGGCCACUGAGCACAUAAAAAGAUGCUCCUCAUCCCUAGUCAUCAGAGAAAUGAAAAUUAGAACUACAGUGAUGGUCCCACACUUUCUCGAGAAUGGCUGUUAUUAAAAGGACUGGCAAUACCACACGUGGGGUAAGAUGUAGAGGAAGUGGAACUCACACAUUUCUGGUAGGAAUGCACAAUUGUGUAGCCAAUUUGGAAAACGUAAUGUAUGAUUUAACUUAUAGGAAAUCCUAGAAAUGGCAAAAAACAGUAAUGACAGAAGGCAGAGCAGUUUGUGUUGGUAGUUACACAACUGUACACAAUUGCCCAAAUUUAUCAAACUUUACACAAAAAAAGGGGGGAAUUUUAUUGUAUGUAAAUUAUACAUCAAUAAAGCUUGGAGGAAAAGUAAACGGAUGAUACUUACAUUGGAAAGAUAAAUGAGGAAUAACUAUUUUUUAGUAAAUGGUGGAGCAGUGCAGCUUCUGACCUGCCGUCUAAUUCAAUGUUUAGGCUUCUUUGCAACUUGUUGUUUUGCUUUUUCCACGACUGUUUUGAAGAAAAUAAUACAAAAUCUUUGAAGUAACUUCAGUUUUUCAAUGAAAACUUCAGUAUAAAUACUACAUAAGUCGUUAUGAACAUGCUAUAAAUCCAAGCCAAAUUGCAAAUAUCUGAUUAGCAAUUUAGGUGGGACAUGCAGACAGGCUCUUGACUCCAUGUAUUUUCUUCCUUUGUUUAGAAAAGUGUGCUGUGGACUGUGAUAUAUUUGUGUGGGUAAAGUACUGAAAACAUACCGAAAUAAAGAACACUACAAAAACUAUGUACUUCCCUCACUGAGGAAUAUUAAAAUCAAAGCCUGAUUUGACAGCUUAACUGCUGUUGGCCCAACAGUAAGUGGUGGUAUGUUCAGUAGUGAUCUUGUUUCCCUUGGGUCUUUGAAACCUGACAUCCACUUUGAUUUUUUGAGCCAAAAUGACCAUGAAUAGAAAUAUUGUCAGAAUUUGCUUUAAAGACAUAGGCAGUCAGACCAUGGAAGCAUACAGAGGAGGAAGGGCCCCAAAUUGUAAAUCUCACUGGGCAGAAGCUGUUUUAAACAUAAUUUCUGGAAAAUCCCUUGCAUUUCUAAUCCACAGUGUGGUGCUUUAAGCAGGGCUUAUCGAUCUGACAUCCAAGGAUGGUGUCCCUGUGGAGACAGAGGGCUUGUGCCUGUGUCCCAAUGUCAGGACAGGCUCUGCCUUCCUCUCUGGCUGUCUCCUCUCAUGCUUCGUUGCCUGCAGGGCCUCCUGCCUCCUGAUCUGAGUUUAGAACACAUUUCUCUUUCUCUCUCCUUCUCUUUUUUCAGUAGACUUAUCAAUUUCCUCCAAAAUCAGAUAUUUCUUAUUUACAUAUUGUCAUAAGUGAUAAUAAAAUCUUGGUUAAAGCCAUUUGUUUGAAAAAAGUAUGGCAUACUUGUGCCCUGAAGUAAUUGCUGAUUAUAGAUACAAGGAGCCCCUGGGAGAUGGGUUCUUGGGAGCAUGGGGCUUGGAAGUCAGAUUGGGUCUGAAUGCUAGCUGUGUUGUGGCUUCUGUUCUUACUAGGUACAUGACUUUAAGCCAGUGCAGUAACCUUUCUGGGCCUCAGUAAAAAACCAAAAAUGGAACAAGAACACAUUGUAAGGGAGUGGAGGCGGGGAGCAGGCGCUCCUUUAAACACAGUGAUUGGGGUGGACUUUCUGCCUCUCCAAGGAGGUCAAAGUCUGACUCAAAGAAUUGUGCCCUUAUGUUGGUUUUCAUUUACGUUUCCCUGAUUACUAAUGAUAUGGGUAUCUUUUCAUUUGUAUGCUUGGCUAGUAUUUGAAUUUGUCCUUUUGUGAAGUUCCUGUUCGAGUCUCUUGUCCAUUUUUGUAUCAUCUUCCCUUAUUUUUUAUUGAUUCAUUAGGAGUGUUUUACUCUCUUAAUGGUAUGUUUUGAUGAACAAAAUUGAAAUUAUGUGGUCAGAUUUCUCAAUCUUUUCUGCAUGAAGCUGUGCUUAUUGUUGAGGUUUUUUCUCUGACUUGGUUUCCUUUAAUCCCAGCGUUGGAUGCACCUGCUCUGUCCAGUAGGCAGUUCACGCUCAAGAUGGUAGAUCGUGGGCUUCCAGCAAUGACCCUGGGCCACAGAGCGUAUACCCAUCAUUCUUCUUCAUUGUCCCAGAGACAGUGCCAAAUGGCGCAUUCUUCUUUUCUGAGCUGUUGUGUGGUGUGUCCCAUGCUGUCUCUGGCCUCAGUGGACGCUGCUCUUCUGGGAACACACUUCCUUUCUCUUCUGAUGCUUUUCUUCCACCUCCUUUGGUAAAUGCCCACCUCCUCUGGAAUCUCUCUUGUUCCCCAUCUCCAAUUUGAGCUUGGAUUAGGACCCCUUCAUUGGUCUUCCUGUUGUGCCCAUUCUAUACCAUGAUCACUGCCCUCUCCACAAGGCAUACAAAGUAUUAGUGUUUUAAAAAAAGGAGUAAGUGCAUUAGCACUCUGUACUGUGUAUGCUAUGAGAGGAUCAGGGCAGCUGACUAAUCCUCAGAAGCCCAAUUCCCAGUACAAUGCUUAGCACACGAUGCACACCCAAUAAAGCUUGGUGAUCCAAAAA